rnacentral:rRNA from 1 species
UGCCAGCCGCCGCGGUAAUACGGAGUGUGCAAGCGUUGUUCGGAAUCACUGGGCGUAAAGCGCGCGUAGGCGGCAAGGUAAGUCAGAUGUGAAAUCCCUCGGCUCAACCGAGGAACUGCAUUUGAAACUGCCUGGCUUGAGUACGGGAGGGGAGAGCGGAAUUCCCAGUGUAGAGGUGAAAUUCGUAGAUAUUGGGAGGAACACCAGUGGCGAAGGCGGCUUUCUGGACCAAUACUGACGCUGAGAUGCGAAAGCGUGGGGAGCGAACAGGAUUAGAUA